UAGGGAAUCUUCCGCAAUGGGCGAAAGCCUGACGGAGCAAUGCCGCGUGAGUGAUGAAGGUCUUCGGAUCGUAAAACUCUGUUAUUAGGGAAGAAAAAAUGUGUAAGUAACUAUGCACGUCUUGACGGUACCUAAUCAGAAAGCCACGGCUAACUACGUGCCAGCAGCCGCGGUAAUACGUAGGUGGCAAGCGUUAUCCGGAAUUAUUGGGCGUAAAGCGCGCGUAGGCGGUUUUUUAAGUCUGAUGUGAAAGCCCACGGCUCAACCGUGGAGGGUCAUUGGAAACUGGAAAGCUUGAGUGCAGAAGAGGAAAGUGGAAUUCCAUGUGUAGCGUUGAAAUGCGCAGAGAUAUGGAGGAACACCAUUGGCGAAGGCGACUUUCUGGUCUGUAACUGACGCUGAUGUGCGAAAGCGUGGGGAUCAAACAGG
rnacentral:rRNA from 1 species